AUUGAACGCUGGCGGCAGGCCUAACACAUGCAAGUCGAGCGAGCGGCGGACGGGUGAGUAAUGUCUGGGAAACUGCCUGAGGGAGGGGGGUAACUCCUGGAAACGGUAGCUAAUACCGCAUACCAUCAGAUGUGCCCCGAUGUGAGUAGCUAGUGGGUGGGGUAAUGGCGCACCUAGACGACGAUCCCUCGCUGGUCUGAGAGGAUGACCAGCCACACUGGAACUGAGACACGGUCCAGACUCCUACGGGAGGCAGCAGUGGGGAAUAUUGCACAAUGGGCGCAAGCCUGAUGCAGCCAUGCCGCGUGUGUGAAGAAGGCCUUCGGGUUGUAAAGCACUUUCAGCGGGGAGGCGUUACCCGCAGAAGAAGCACCGGCUAACUCCGUGCCAGCAGCCGCGGUAAUAC
rnacentral:rRNA from 1 species